GGCUACACACGUGCUACAAUGGGUAGUACAGAGAGUCGCGACCCUGUGAGGGUGAGCUAAUCUCAGAAAACUAUUCUUAGUUCGGAUUGUACUCUGCAACUCGAGUACAUGAAGUUGGAAUCGCUAGUAAUCGCAAAUCAGCUAUGUUGCGGUGAAUACGUUCUCGGGUCUUGUACACACCGCCCGUCACACCACGAGAGUUGGUUGCACCUGAAGUAGCAGGCCUAACCGUAAGGAGGGAUGCUCCGAGGGUGUGAUUAGCGAUUGGGGUGAAGUCGUAACAAGGUAUCCGUACGGGAACGU
rnacentral:rRNA from 1 species